UACGUAGGGUGCAGGCGUUAAUCGGAAUUACUGGGCGUAAAGCGUGCGCAGGCGGCUUCCUAAGUCAGAUGUGAAAUCCCCGGGCUCAACCUGGGAACUGCGUUUGAAACUGGGAGGCUAGAGUGCGGCAGAGGGGGGUGGAAUUCCACGUGUAGCAGUGAAAUGCGUAGAUAUCAGGAGGAAUACCGAUGGCGAAGGCAGGUCUCUGGGCUGACACUGACGCUCAUGCACGAAAGCGUGGGUAGCAAACAGG
rnacentral:rRNA from 1 species